rnacentral:rRNA from 1 species
GUACACGCUGUGACUAGCAUAUCAAUAAGCGGAGGAAAAGAAACUAACAAGGAUUCCCCUAGUAACGGCGAGUGAAGCGGGAAGAGCUCAAAUUUGAAAUCUUAAAGGGUUUCCCUUUACGAAUUGUAGUUUAAAGAAGUGUUUUCUGUUGAGGUUUUGGUAAAAGUUCUUUGGAAUAGGACAUCAUAGAGGGUGAGAAUCCCGUAUUUGACCUUUACUUUCAACUUUGUGAUACACUUUCAAAGAGUCGGAUUGUUUGGGAAUGCAGUCCAAAAUGGGUGGUAAAUUUCAUCUAAAGCUAAAUAUUGGCGAGAGACCGAUAGCGAACAAGUACCGUGAGGGAAAGAUGAAAAGAACUUUGAAAAGAGAGUUAAACAGUACGUGAAAUUGUCAAAAGGGAAGCGUUUGACACCAGUGUUGUUUUUCUGAAAAUCAAUUAAAGAACUGUUUAUGCUAAGUUGUUUAGACUUUAUCAGCUAACUGUAUUAGUUUUGAGCUUUUCUUUAAUGCACUUUUCAGUUAACAAGUCAACAUCAAUUUCUUUUGCUGUAAAAAAGCUUGAGGAAGGUGGCUUGAGAUUCGUCUUAAGUGUUUAUAGCCUCUUGCCUAUGCAGUCGGAGAGAUUGAGGUCUGCAGCGUAGAUCCUUCGGGGCUAAAUGCAUUUGUGCUAAGUUAUAGCAUUUUAUAGACAACUUGUUGACUAUGAUUUGUCUUGUAGCUUACUCGCUUAUGUUAUUUUACCUACGCUUAGGAUGUUGAAGAUGUAGCACAUCAU